rnacentral:misc_RNA from 1 species
GAUGAAGAACGCAGCGAAUUGUGAUAAGUAAUGUGAAUUGCAGAAUUCAGUGAAUCAUCGAAUCUUUGAACGCACAUUGCGCCCGCCAGCACUCUGGCGGGCAUGCCUGUCCGAGCGUCAUUUCAACCCUCAGGGCCCCUUCGGGGGACCUGGCGUUGGGGAUCGGCCCGCCCCCGUGCGGCGCCGUCCCCGAAAUAUAGUGGCGGUCUCGCUGCAGCCUCCCCUGCGUAGUAGCACACCUCGCACUGGAGAGCGGCGCGGCCACGCCGUGAAACCCCCAACUUCUGAAUGUUGACCUCGGAUCAGGUAGGAAUACCCGCUGAACUUAAGCAUAUCAAUAAGCGGAGGA